UACGUAGGGGGCAAGCGUUAUCCGGAUUUACUGGGUGUAAAGGGAGCGUAGACGGCAGCGCAAGUCUGGAGUGAAAUGCCGGGGCUCAACCCCGGAACUGCUUUGGAAACUGUGCAGCUAGAGUGCGGGAGAGGUAAGCGGAAUUCCUAGUGUAGCGGUGAAACGCGUAGAUAUUAGGAGGAACACCAGUGGCGAAGGCGGCUUACUGGACCGUAACUGACGUUGAGGCUCGAAAGCGUGGGGAGCAAACAGG
rnacentral:rRNA from 1 species